GACGAACGCUGGCGGCGUGCCUAAUACAUGCAAGUUGAGCGCUGAAGGUUGGUACUUGUACCAACUGGAUGAGCAGCGAACGGGUGAGUAACGCGUGGGGAAUCUGCCUUUGAGCGGGGGACAACAUUUGGAAACGAAUGCUAAUACCGCAUAAAAACUUUAAACACAAGUUUUAAGUUUGAAAGAUGCAAUUGCAUCACUCAAAGAUGAUCCCGCGUUGUAUUAGCUAGUUGGUGAGGUAAAGGCUCACCAAGGCGAGGAUACAUAGCCGACCUGAGAGGGUGGUCGGCCGGACUGGGACUGAGACACGGCCCAAACUCCUACGGGAGGCAGCAGUAGGGAAUCUUCGGCAAUGGACGAAAGUCUGACCGAGCAACGCCGCGUGAGUGAAGAAGGAUUUCGGAUCGUAAAACUCUGUUGGUAGGGAAGAACGUUGGUGAGAGUGGAAAGCUCAUCAAGUGACGGUAACUACCCAGAAAGGGACGGCUAACUACGUG
rnacentral:rRNA from 1 species